UGCUCGAGUGGCGAACGGGUGAGUAACACGUGAGUAACCUGCCCUUGACUUUGGGAUAACUUCAGGAAACUGGGGCUAAUACCGGAUAGGAGCUCCUGCUGCAUGGUGGGGGUUGGAAAGUUUCGGCGGUUGGGGAUGGACCCGCGGCUUAUCAGCUUGUUGGUGGGGUAGUGGCUUACCAAGGCUUUGACGGGUAGCCGGCCUGAGAGGGUGACCGGCCACAUUGAGACUGAGAUACGGCCCAG
rnacentral:rRNA from 1 species